CAGCAGCCGCGGUAAAACGGAGGCCUCAAGCGUUGUUCGGAUUCAUUGGGCGUAAAGGGUGCGUAGGCGGUUCCGUAAGUCGGAUGUGAAAUCCUGGGGCUCAACCCCAGAACUGCAUUCGAUACUGCGGGGCUAGAGGACCGGAGAUGAGAGUGGAAUUCACGGUGUAGCAGUGAAAUGCGUAGAGAUGUGGAGGAACACCAGUGGCGAAGGCGACUCUCUGGUCUGUAACUGACGCUGAGGAGCGAAAGCGUGGGGAGCGAACAGGAUUAGAUACCCGCGUAGUCCCUGUCUCUUAUAC
rnacentral:rRNA from 1 species